rnacentral:rRNA from 1 species
GAUGAACGCUGGCGGCGUGCCUAAUACAUGCAAGUCGAGCGAACAGAUGAGGAGCUUGCUCCUCUGACGUUAGCGGCGGACGGGUGAGUAACACGUGGAUAACCUACCUAUAAGACUGGGAUAACUUCGGGAAACCGGAGCUAAUACCGGAUAAUAUAUUGAACCGCAUGGUUCAAUAGUGAAAGACGGUUUUGCUGUCACUUAUAGAUGGAUCCGCGCCGCAUUAGCUAGUUGGUAAGGUAACGGCUUACCAAGGCGACGAUGCGUAGCCGACCUGAGAGGGUGAUCGGCCACACUGGAACUGAGACACGGUCCAGACUCCUACGGGAGGCAGCAGUAGGGCAUCUUCCGCAAUGGGCGAAAGCCUGACGGAGCAACGCCGCGUGAGUGAUGAAGGUCUUCGGAUCGUAAAACUCUGUUAUUAGGGAAGAACAAAUGUGUAAGUAACUAUGCACGUCUUGACGGUACCUAAUCAGAAAGCCACGGCUAACUACGUG